rnacentral:rRNA from 1 species
GACGAACGCUGGCGGCGUGCUUAACACAUGCAAGUCGAACGACGUGGCGAACGGGUGAGUAAUACGUGGGUAACAUGCCCUCCUUUUUGGGAUAAGCCUUGGAAACGGGGGCUAAUACCGAAAUAAGGGGGAUGGGCACGCGGCCUUUCAGCUUGUUGGUGGGGUGAUGGCCUACCAAGGCGGUGACGGGUAGCCGGGCUGCGAGGGGGACCGGCCCUAUUGUGACGGGGAUACGGCCCAGAGUCCUACGAGUGGCAGCAGUGGCAGAUAUUGCACAAUGGGCGAAAACCUGAUCCAGCUACACCGCGUGGGGGUUGAAGGCUUUCGGGUUGUAAAGCGGUUUCGAUAUCGAACGGGUAGCUGGAGAAGAAGCGCCGGCUAACUACGUGCCAGCAGCCGCGGUAAUAC